UACGAAGGGGGCUAGCGUUGUUCGGAAUUACUGGGCGUAAAGCGCGCGUAGGCGGUGAUCUUUGUCAGAGGUGAAAGCCUGGGGCUCAACCCCAGAAACUUGCCUUUGAAACGGGAUCGCUAGAGUCCGAGAGAGGAUGGCGAAGUUCCUAGUGUAGAGGUGAAAUUCGUAGAUAUUAGGAAGAACACGGUGGCGAAGGCGGCCUCUGGACCAUUCUGACACUGAGACGCGAAAGCGUGGGUAGCAAACAGGGAUUAGAUGACCCAGA
rnacentral:rRNA from 1 species